rnacentral:misc_RNA from 1 species
UACGGGGGGAGCAAGCGUUGUUCGGAAUUACUGGGCGUAAAGGGCGUGUAGGCGGUUGCGCAAGUCAGGGGUGAAAUGCAUCGGCUUAACCGGUUGACCUGCCCUUGAAACUGCACAACUUGAGUACGGAAGAGGAGAGCGGAAUUCCUGGUGUAGCGGUGAAAUGCGUAGAUAUCAGGAAGAACACCUGUGGCGAAGGCGGCUCUCUGGUCCAGUACUGACGCUGAGGCGCGAAAGCCAGGGGAGCGAACGGG